GUGAGUAUGGAAACAGCCAGCGCGGAGAGGAAGGAUAUGGCAUUUCUGAGCUCAGCUUACCGUAUCUGGGUCUGAAAUUCAGGAGGGGGCGGAUGUUUAAGUGGUUUAAAGACUCUUCAGCACUCAUUUGAAAGGCAGAAGGACUAGAGGACGAGAUCUAAAGCAUAAGCACCCCCAGCAGUGUGAUAAGGAGUGAUGUAAGGAGUGAUACGGUCACCGGGUGCUCCUGGAAACUGAUUUCUUCUCUUGAACUCUUCUGCAUUUCUGCAGCUCCCUACGAAUGUGUUAGAGCCUCUACUGGCAUCAACUGACAUGGCUCAGCGGAGGAAAUCAACUCAGCUGUGUCUUGGCACAACCAAUACCUUACCAGGAAUCACAUCUAUCUUUCAGGUAGAUGAACAAUCUGUUCUGUGUAAUACACUUCCAUUUGUCGGCAGGGCAAACGUAAAAAGUGUUAAAAUAAUUACCUACCUAUGACAAAUAUAAUUGUAAAUAUCUUUAUUAAAGACACUAAAU